AGGUGAGGCUAUUAUAAAUUGAAGGGUUGUGCACUAUGAAAACACAGUGACCGAAAGAAAGAGAGUGAGAAAGCCUAAAUAGAGACAGAGUGAGUUUAAGGAAAAACAGAGAGGGCCGAGAGUUGCAGAGGGAGGCCGGAAACUUGGUGGCUUGAUGAUCCAGUCCAGGAAUUCUUUUUCAGUUUUCAGGUACCAAGGACGAACGGGAAUUGCUAGAUUCGGGCUUAGGUUGAAGAGUUGGCGUUGCAGGAAUUUAUUUUUUUUAUUUGGAGAUUUUUUUGUGUAUUUGAGGAAAUUAACUUUGUAUAAAAGAGGGGGUAAUUUUUAUGAUUCUGGGUAUAUUUUGAUGUAUUUAAAUUGAAUAAAUCGAGGAUUUUAUUGGAAUUAUCGGGGCGUGACAAGCUAGCCCAAAAUCCCCAA